rnacentral:rRNA from 1 species
AUUAAAAGACUGAAGUGGAGAAAGGUUCCAUGUGAACAG